AUCAAUAAGCGGAGGAAAAGAAACCAACAGGGAUUGCCCUAGUAACGGCGAGUGAAGCGGCAACAGCUCAAAUUUGAAAUCUGGCGUCUUUGGCGUCCGAGUUGUAAUUUGCAGAGGGCGCUUUGGCAUUGGCAGCGGUCCAAGUUCCUUGGAACAGGACGUCACAGAGGGUGAGAAUCCCGUACGUGGUCGCUAGCCUUUACCGUGUAAAGCCCCUUCGACGAGUCGAGUUGUUUGGGAAUGCAGCUCUAAAUGGGAGGUAAAUUUCUUCUAAAGCUAAAUACUGGCCAGAGACCGAUAGCGCACAAGUAGAGUGAUCGAAAGAUGAAAAGCACUUUGGAAAGAGAGUUAAAAAGCACGUGAAAUUGUUGAAAGGGAAGCGCUUGCAGCCAGACUUGCCUGUAGUUGCUCAUCCGGGUUUUUACCCGGUGCACUCUUCUACGGGCAGGCCAGCAUCAGUUUGGGCGGUUGGAUAAAGGUCUCUGUCAUGUACCUCCUCUCGGGGAGAACUUAUAGGGGAGACGACAUGCAACCAGCCCGGACUGAGGUCCGCGCAUCUGCUAGGAUGCUGGCGUAAUGGCUGUAAGCGGCCCGUCUUGAAACACGGACCAAGGAGUCUAACAUCUAUGCGAGUGUUUGGGUGUCAAGCCCGAGCGCGUAAUGAAAGUGAACGGAGGUGGGAACCUUUCGGGGUGCACCAUCGACCGAUCCUGAUGUCUUCGGAUGGAUUUGAGUAAGAGCAUAGCUGUUGGGACCCGAAAGAUGGUGAACUAUGCUUGAAUAGGGUGAAGCCAGAGGAAACUCUGGUGGAGGCUCGCAGCGGUUCUGACGUGCAAAUCGAUCGUCAAAUUUGGGCAUAGGGGCGAAAGACUAAUCGAACUAUCUAGUAGCUGGUUCCUGCCGAAGUU
rnacentral:rRNA from 1 species